UUUCGGGUGAGCCCCUCUUUUGGGUCCCUUUUGGGCUUCCUUCGGGCUCUUUUACCGAGUGCUUUACGUGGCAUCGGGAUACCAUGAAGCCUUCUCCAUCUACCCUUGCACUUUCUGUGUUUUGGGGAAGAUUCAUUAUCACUCUCCCAGCUGGAGAGGGGUUCCCUUGCACUCGCUGAGUGUAAGGGAGGAAAAAAAGAAAAAGACUAUCUCUGAGAAGCGGCUUCGAAUACCUCUGUUAUACAGAGGCCAAAAAAGUGCUCUUCUCUCUUAGUUUUUACCCAGACGCUCUCUUCGUUGCGUUGUGGGGAAGAUUUAUUUACCCUCUUCGACAUCAAAGAAGGAGAUUACCUGCUCGUUUAUGAGUGUGGGAGAGACAGGGCCAGGAGGAAAAGAGAAGCAGCCUUAAAUACCUCUGUUAGAGCGGAGGCUUUAUCUUUAUUUGUAUUUUUUGUUUUAUUUUGUAAAGGACCACUUGCUUUUAAUUUCUGCUUUUGUCACAAAAUAAUAAAAAUCACCUGAGUCUGAUUUUAGACUAGGGGAGCCAACUUUUGCCAGUCCUUUAUUUUCUCUGGGAUCGUACCGCCCGCUGUCAAGCGGGGAGGGUUUCCACCCUUACGGGGGUUAGCGACUCCUCUUUAACCGCCCGUGGAGAGUUGCCUCCCGGCGGGGAUUGACUUGGACACGCAGACCUCCUGUUAUCUCCUAGUGGGAGUGCAUUUCCCUAUCCGCCCGGCCUGGUCAGAGCCUCUGAGCAUCCCCCUCUCUCAGUCCGGCGACCAAGAAGGGCAAGGCGGGCGUCCUUGAGAAGGAAGGGACCUCCGUGACCCUGGGAGGACGGCUGAGACCUUUGGGCCAAGGGUCAAUCUCCCAUGCUGAGCAAUGAAACACAUGCAGAAGUGCCAAAAACUGCAGUUCAUCAAGUGGCUGCUUGAGGCUGGCUCCAGAAAUGCCUGUAGCAAGAGGAGACUAGCUGCUGGUGUCCCCGUCAGUUCAGCUAAAGCUAACACCACUCACUGCAGUUGACGUCCUGGCCUUUCAGACAAUUCUCAAGCAAAAAUCUGACGCAUAAUAUGGCUUGCUGUGGGGUUAGGGUUAAGGUUAAUGGACCCUCCCAAGAAGUCAACCCUCCACUUCUUUCGGUGAUUCAGACAGGCUGGACCAGUGUUUGCUCAACCUGAGAAGACAGAAUUGGACUCCUAACAGGACUCGUCUGUGCAGUGAACACUGAGAGUCAUCACUUCAUCACUACUUUGAAAGGCAUCACUUGUUUUAAGACAUUAACAUUUUGCAAAAUUAUGACACUUGGUUGUUAUUCAUCAGUUCUAUUAUAAUACACAAAUUUUUCAUUUAUUUAAAGUUAACUUAAAGGGGUGAU